rnacentral:rRNA from 1 species
UUUGGUUGGCCCCCUGAAAUUAAGCAUAUCAUUAAGCGGAGGAAAAGAAACUAACAAGGAUUUCCCUAGUAGUGGCGAACGACCGGGAAUUASCCCAGCMCCGAAUCCUGUAUCUUUGGUACUAGGAAUUGUGGUGUAAAGGUUGCAUCUUUAGCKGUUUGGUGUGCUCCAAAUUCACUUGAUUGUGAUWUUGYCCAUAGRGGGUGUUARACCCGUUGGGGUACAACUCGGCAGUUAUUGAUGUUUCCUAUGAGUCGGAUUGUUUGAGAAUGCAGUCCAAAUUUGGKGGKAAACUCCAUCUAAGGCUAAAUACUUGUAUGAGYCCRAUAGCAAACAAKUMCCGKGRGGRAAAKUUAAAAAAAAUUUUAAAAAGAGAKUWAAAUAGUACGUGAAAUCGCUUARAGGUAAACGAGUGGAGCCGAAAACGUUGUACGGGAUUCAGUUGUGUAUGUGAUGAUGAUUGGUUUGGUGAAAUCUCUAAAGGAAUUGCCGGAUCGAUAGUGUUUGUUGCAGACGCGAUGCACUUCCUGUACAGCAAAACUGUGACCAAUAGUGUUGUUUUUCUGUCGUAAUGGUGAAGGUGAUCAUUUGCUUGCAAUUGGUUUUAUAGCUCAUUACACGGUUAAAUCUAAUGUAUUGGUGAAUGCGGUUGGUCAAUGUUGGCAAUGUGUUAUAUGUGAGGUUUGGUARCUGACUACUUGUAGACUGUUAUCAGGUUUUGCGUGUGGCAUCRUUGUUGAUGGAUCARUCUAAAGUCGCAKUAUAAUGUAKGUUAUCUACUCGUCCCGUCUUGAAACACGGACCAAGGAGUUUUAUAUGAUCGCGAGUCAAAGGGCCAUACGAAACCCCAGGGCGUAAUUAAUGUAAAGGUUUACUUUAGUAAGCUGAGAUGUGACCUGAUGUAACAGUCAGUGCAACAUCUACCCGUCUGAAGAUGUUCGCAUCUGGGCGGAGUUUGAGCGAUCAUGUAGAGACCCGAAAGAUGGUGAACUAUGCUUGUGCAGGUUGAAGUCAGAGGAAACUCUGAUGGAGGACCGCCGCGGUUCUGACGUGCAAAUCGAUCGUCGGACAUGAGUAUAGGGGCGAAAGACUAAUCGAACCAUC